rnacentral:rRNA from 1 species
AUUGAACGCUGGCGGCAGGCUUAACACAUGCAAGUCGAGCGGGGUGAUGGUGCUUGCACUAUCACUUAGCGGCGGACGGGUGAGUAAUGCUUAGGAAUCUGCCUAUUAGUGGGGGACAACAUCUCGAAAGGGAUGCUAAUACCGCAUACGUCCUACGGGAGAAAGCAGGGGAUCACUUGUGACCUUGCGCUAAUAGAUGAGCCUAAGUCGGAUUAGCUAGUUGGUGGGGUAAAGGCCUACCACGGCGACGAUCUGUAGCGGGUCUGAGAGGAUGAUCAACCAAACUGGGACUGAGACACGGCCCAGACUCCUACGGGAGGCAGCAGUGGGGAAUAUUGGACAAUGGGGGGAACCCUGAUCCAGCCAUGCCGCGUGUGUGAAGAAGGCCUUAUGGUUGUAAAGCACUUUAAGCGAGGAGGAGGCUCUUUUGGUUAAUACCCAAGAUGAGUGGACGUUACUCGCAGAAUAAGCACCGGCUAACUCUGUGCCAGCCGCCGCAGUAA